UAUGGCGAGAAAAUGCAGCUUGAGCUGAAGCUUGCCCCCAUAGAAUGACCCUGCUUUCAGCGCUCGCUCGCUCGACUCCAUCAGUGCCAAAUUGAGGUGUUGAGCCGCAUGGUCUGAGUAAGAGGCUCCUUGUGGAGGUUCAAGCGACCUAAUAUGAUGCAUUACCGAGGUUGUCGAGGAGCUUAGUAGUGGAAGAGUGGAGGCACGUGUGGCGCCGGGGCUGCGAUAGUGGCCAUGCAUUGAUGGAUCGUGUCAUUUGGCAGCUGGUAUUAAUUAACUGGCGUUGAUUUCAGAUUUGUGUGAGGUGUGCUGUGUCUUGUCACGGAAGUGGAGUGUCAAAAUAGUGGAAAGACGGGGGAGAGUGAGUGAGUGAGGGAGGAUUCGUGGAGAAGAAACUGCAUCUGUUGUUACGGGGAUCUUUGGUGGAGGAAGCGGCGGUUUGCUACAGGUUAAGAUGAUGGCGACGAGCGUUUCAUGGCUUCCAUGUUUCUGAAAGAGGUCAAGAGUUCGGGAUUGGAACUGCGGCUGUAACAGAGCUUAAAGGUAGCAGUCGCCGCUAUUAAAGGUAUGCAAUGGAUUGCUGCUUGUGUUCCUCCGUGGCGAACUCGUAUCGACCUCCGCGCAACACGUUGUGUAAGAAUUGCUACGAAGGUGCAAAGUCUAUCAUUGACCUCUGCCGGAAGCUGGAGCAACAGUGGCGCGAUGAUGAAGAUGUAGAGAGAGGAAGGCAAGCAGCUCCGUAUGGGCUGCAGUAUGCAUUUAAUCAGAUUAAGCAGCUAGAUCAGAUGGAAGAAAAUGUGAGUGAGAAGCUUGAGUUUCUUGGGUCACUUAUAGAAGCUUUCCAAACGGGGAUGCACACUGAUGUCGAAUUGGUCACGAACGACGGCCUCUCUAUACAUGCUCACCGCAUUGUCAUGGCAACCAAGUCAUCUGUAUUUAGAGCAAUUUUUGAGUCGGACGCAUUAAAGGAGCCGCACACGGGAGUUGUUCACAUACCGGAGUUAAGCCAUUAUGAACUGCGGUAUCUUCUUGAGUUCAUGUACUGUGCUGAAAUUCCAGCUGAUGCAAUGGCGGAGCAUGGUCAUGCUCUCUUGAUGGCUGCCGAUAAGUACGACAUACCUGUAUUGAGCAAGGAAACUACCAUCUACUGUUGAGUAUUUCUUGGUUCAAUUUAUGGUCACCCUCACAAAAGCAAUGAUUGAAUCGAAUUAUUUUUCUCAUGGUGCUGCGCCGCAUGUUACUUUUGCAGGAGCGGUGGAAAACAUCCCCACAUAAUGGAGACAGGUAAGAUGUGAAAGUUUGAAGUCAUUAAUUUUUCUCAACCAUGCUAUUCAUUCAAAAGGAAAUACUUGUCAUGUAGCAGAGUUGCAGAAACUCUUCACUGUUUACCUGCCAAAUUUCUAACACGAUAGCCUGUCAUCUGAGAUAUACCCGAUCUCAUUUAUUGGAUCCUUAGGUUAGCAUUUCAGCAACCGAUAGCUUUCAGUUAAGAUUGAACUACUACAGUGAAAUCCACUGGCAAGUCUUACUGAAACAUCGAUGAGUUCGCUGCUCACAUGCUUACAAACCAUGAUUCAAUAUAUAUAAAUAUAAAAUGUACAUAUAUAUAGACAUAUAUAUAAAAAAUAUAUUUUAUAGAUUUCUAAUAA